UAUAAUUGACGCUAUUGACUUUCGGAUUUAUGUUUGACCGUUCGUCUUAUUCAAAAAAAUAUAUAAUUAUUAAUUGUUUUGUCAUGAUUUGAUUUACUAAUAAUAUAACUUUAAGUAUGAUUUAUAAUUGUAACAAUUGAAUAGAAAUUUUAAAUAUGACGAAUAGUCAAACAUAAAUAUAAAAGUCAACUGCGUUAGUUAAA
rnacentral:pre_miRNA from 1 species